rnacentral:lncRNA from 1 species
CUUUUGUUAUUCUUUCAUCUCUUUCAUCCCAAUCCUAUUAUCAAUCCUGUUCAAUUUUUGGAGAAUGGCUAAUGCGUUUGAUAAUGGUUAAUUUUUGUGUUUGUAUUUGAAUUUGAAAGGGCUGCACUAUAUAUGCGAUUGUGACGAAGCAACAUUCUGUAUGUCUUACAUCAUAAAUUCAGUGAGAGCGAGGUGUACAAGAUGUCAUACUUUUUUGUAGCUCCUAACUCUGGUGCGCGUAGAGCUACAUCUCAUGGUUACAAGUUGAUUAUUCAAUCGAAGAUUCAUGUUCUGAGGUUAUGA